AUUGAACGCUGGCGGCAGGCCUAACACAUGCAAGUCGAGCGAGCGGCGGACGGGUGAGUAAUGUCUGGGAAACUGCCUGAUGGAGGGGGAUAACUACUCGAAACGGUAGCUAAUACCGCCUACCAUCAGUUGUGGCCAGAGGGGAUGAUCUAGCAGGUGGGGUAACGGCUCACCUAGGCGACGAUCCCUAGCUGGUCUGAGAGGAUGACCAGCCACACUGGAACUGAGACACGGUCCAGACUCCUACGGGAGGCAGCAGUGGGGAAUAUUGCACAAUGGGCGCAAGCCUGAUGCAGCCAUGCCGCGUGUGUGAAGAAGGCCUUCGGGUUGUAAAGCACUUUCAGCGGGGAGGCGUUACCCGCAGAAGAAGCACCGGCUAACUCCGUGCCAGCAGCCGCGGUAAUUC
rnacentral:rRNA from 1 species